GUUAAUUAACUUUGUGUCCUAGAAACUUUAUUUAGAAAAGUAGUUUGAUCAUUUUUAAGUUGUAAUUACUGUCUUGGGGGUGGUAUGAUAUCUGUAUUAUGUCUUGUGUAACUGGUUAGGUAUGUAAGGUUGUGUUACCUACAGUGCAGCACCCUGUAGAAAAGUAGUGCUGUCAGUGCACCUCACGUGGUACACUAUAGACAUUAAUUUCAACUUCUUUGCUGCAGUCUCCCUUUGACCCCAAGCUGCAACUUCUUUCAUUCCUUUUGCAGUGUACCUCUGUUUAUAUUGUCUCCCAUCUGACUUUCCACCCUCUCCUUACAUUUGUUUCAUAGUGCAGCAGACAUACGCAUGAAAAUGUUCGUGCCUUCUGACGGCUCUGACUGUGUUACAUGAGAACCAGAUUAUAUUUCCCAUUUUUUCAAAUAUUUCCAUGGAUUAGCAACCAUGAAACUAUUCACAUUUCUGUGUCUGUAGAAGGAUUAGUAUAACAAAGUACACAGUGGGAGGAGGAGGAUGGUUUGACUUAGUCUCAGAUUAGGCCAGUGAAGUGUCAUCAUGAUGUGUCAGAUGUGAGGUUUUGGUUACAUUUACCAUUGCUUUGAGGAAGUAGCAGGUUAGGCUUACUGGUGUCAUGAGUCAAUAGAUUGCUGUAGAUUUUUACCAAAAGAAAUUAGUUUUUAUUAGAUGUCUGAACUAAUUUUAACUUUUGCAGGCUGGCUUGCAGGGGUGGCCAGCCAAGGUUGCAAAACUAGGUCCAAUUUUCGGCAGAGCCCACGUAAUAAGCCCUGUCUCCCCAUGAGGCAAUUUCUUAACUACAGAGGGGCAGUUUCAGCAUGCUUGAGUGAUAACCAGAAAUGAGUGCCCUGGAGUCAUGCACAGAUUAGUACAGUAUAUCUUACUGGUAUCCCCAUGGCGUGGAUUUGUCAGACCUGUGGAGCCUUUCAAAGGAGCACAUUACUGCCAAUGAAGCCACAGGAAGGAGAAACAGCACCGUGAACUAGGAUGUUUUAAGUUGGAAGGUCUAUUAAAAUGUGGGAGAUUUAUCAAGUGCAGCCCAAUGUCACACACCUGGACCUUAAAGAUCUGCUCAUGAAAACAACAAUUUUCUGGGGAGUAAGUUGUAUGGAGAGAUUCACUAUAAAGUUUGAAGUUAAAAGAUAUCUGCUGUCUAGUGGAACAUUACUUGAUGUCUUCACUGUUGUCUUGUCAGGUUUUGUUAAAAGAUGAAGAGAGGUGUGCUCCAAUGAUUUUAAAAUGCUGAAAAUAUUGACCUAUAUAUACAUACUACAUGUAAAUUAGUGUAACUUGAAUGUGAACAAUCUUUGACAACUGGUAUUCUAGCAGGAAUCAGUCAGGUACUUGUCAUGCCUUUUAAAAUCAAGCUAAUCAAUUAAGAAGAAAUUUAAUUGUAGAAAGGAGUCCAAAAUUGUCUUAAUAUUUUAUUAUUAAUUUGCCUGUCAUUUUAUUUGAUUCACUUAAGAAUCGUAUAUCAAAUUAGGGUUACAAAAUGAGCCACUUUCAAUAUUUCAUUCACAAUUAUGUAAGUGAACAGUAAAAUAAAGGUUUUAGUGAUAAUUUUGAUUAGCUGAGACAUAACAUAUAGUGUUCCUCAGGAUAGUGCUCUCCGAUCUAUAUACUGAUUUUUGGAUUUACUAGUGUCAUACUUUUCAGGCCAUGAAAUUAAGAUGAUAUAGUGCCAUUUUUAAUGCAGUGUGUAUAUGCUAGUGUCAUACUUUUCAGGCCAUGAAAGUAAGAUAGUACAGUGUGUAGAUAGUGCCACUUUUAUUGUAGUUUGUAUUUGCUAGUGUCAUACUUUUCAGGCCAUGAAAGUAAGGUAGUACAGUGUGCAGAUAGAGCCAUUUUAUUGCAGUUUUGAUUUGCCAGUGUCAUACUUUUCAGGCCAUGAAAGUAAGAUAGUACUUUAUGCAGAUAGUAUCACCUUUAUUGCAGUUUGUAUUUGCUAGUCAUACUUUUCAGGCCAUGAAAAUCAGACAGUACAGUGUGCACAUAGUGCUAAUUGUAUUGCAUUUUGCAAUUAGAGUAUCACCUUAAUGCAUGUUGAAGUGUAUAGCAGCCUAGACAUAACAUCUGAAGUUUUUCAGGAUAUUGUUUUUGGCUGUGCCAGUCUCAUACUUUCAGGCCUUAAAAAAGAGAUGUAUGCUGCAGAUAGUGCUACUUUCAUUGUAAUAUGCAAUUAUCAUUAUCCCCUUAAUGUAUAAUAAUGUAUGUGGCAGAUAACCAUAUCAUUAUUGGAGUUUUAGAAUUAAUCUGUAAGUUGUGUAGUCUAGAGGGGAUGAAGCUAAACUCUGGAAAAACCAAAGCUAUUCAUCAAUCAAUCCGUAGCCUGUUUCUGUUCUUCUGUUCCAGGACUCAAAAACUGUAGGUAACAGUGUCACAAGGCCUUUGCAAUUAAUCCUGUUGUGAAUUUUUUUUUAGAAAUAGUACAUUGAUGGAUAAAAUUUAAACUUAUACUAAUUAAAGACAGAUCCUUUGGGAGCCAUGUGAAGGUUGAAUGAAUUAGGGUUGGGCUGUGAAAGUACUACUCAUGAUGAGGCACUUAAUUUGAUCUCAUUUUAAAGCACAUUACUCACACUUUGUAUUCGAAUGCCAGAAGAAGGGCAAGACACACAAGUGAAGGUAAAUGGACGCAUUAGAAAAUUGCUGGAAAGGUCACAGUAUUGUAGGUGAUACAAAGGCUCAAAGAACAUACAAAGUAUAUGGCAAGAAGUUUUG